UACAGAGGGGGCAAGCGUUGUUCGGAAUUACUGGGCGUAAAGGGCGCGUAGGCGGCCCGCUAAGUCGAACGUGAAAUCCCCAGGCUCAACCCGGGAAUUGCAUUCGAUACUGGCGAGCUAGAGUACGGUAGAGGGCGGCGGAAUUCCGGGUGUAGCGGUGAAAUGCGUAGAUAUCCGGAAGAACACCGGUGGCGAAGGCGGCCUGCUGGGCAGUAGCUGACGCUGAGGCGCGACAGCGUGGGGAGCAAACAGG
rnacentral:rRNA from 1 species